AUUGAACGCUGGCGGCAUGCCUUACACAUGCAAGUCGAACGGUAACAGGUUAAGCUGACGAGUGGCGAACGGGUGAGUAACACAUCGGAACGUGCCCAAUCGUGGGGGAUAACGUAGCGAAAGCUACGCUAAUACCGCAUACAAUCUACGGAUGAAAGCGGGGGAUCGCAAGACCUCGCGCGAAUGGAGCGGCCGAUGGCAGAUUAGGUAGUUGGUGAGGUAAAGGCUCACCAAGCCUGCGAUCUGUAGCUGGUCUGAGAGGACGACCAGCCACACUGGGACUGAGACACGGCCCAGACUCCUACGGGAGGCAGCAGUGGGGAAUUUUGGACAAUGGGCGCAAGCCUGAUCCAGCAAUGCCGCGUGCAGGAUGAAGGCCUUCGGGUUGUAAACUGCUUUUGUACGGAACGAAACGGUCCUUUCUAAUACAGGGGGCUAAUGACGGCACCGUAAGAAUAAGCACCGGCUAACUACGUGCCAGCCGCCGCCGUAA
rnacentral:rRNA from 1 species